rnacentral:snoRNA from 1 species
AAGACUAUACUUUCAGGGAUCAUAUCUAUAAUAUAUAUAUAUAUAUAUAUAUAUAUAUAUAUAUAUUCCCCAGAUAGACAGUCAGAGAGAAAGACACCAUAGCACUGAAACUUUCCUCAGUGCUGUGUGUGUGUGAGGGAGGAAUAGGUGGGGGAAACCCAUGCCUAUGACUAA